ensembl:lncRNA
CAGGAACUUAUAAGUUGUGUUUGUCCACUCAGGCAUCAUUCAGACUUGCUCUGUAGGCAGUUCCUGUCAGAAGGAAGAGGCACAGCAGGUGCGCCGGGGGGCGGAAGACGGUGCCUCAGUGCCUCUCUCCUUCUGACAUUGUUAAAAAAAAAACAACAAAUUUAUAAUUAUUUAUAUUUUUAUAUGUAGGUAAUGUCCUCAAGUUCUUGAUAACCACUUUUUCCUCUCUCUCUGUUUGUGUGUAUUGUUUUGUCUCUUUCAAACAGGUGCCGGUCCUCACCUCUGCAGUGCUGCCGUCUCCUGUAACGCUGCAUGGUCCUAAGCUACGUUUUCUUUCUUUUUUUUUUUUGUUCUUGUAAUUUUUGUCCUCAGGUGAGGUUUGAAGUGUCUGUGUUGUGCAGCUGGUCUGGUCUGUCUCUAGACAGUCCAGGCUGCACCCAUCAGUAAAUGGUGGAGGCUCACAAGGACAACACACAAGUUUCUGAACAACUCUGCGGGAGGGUUUCUCCGGCGAAGUGAAGGCCGUG